rnacentral:rRNA from 1 species
AUGAACGCUAGCUACAGGCUUAACACAUGCAAGUCGAGGGGCAGCAUGGUCUUAGCUUGCUAAGGCUGAUGGCGACCGGCGCACGGGUGAGUAACACGUAUCCAACCUGCCGUCUACUCUUGGCCAGCCUUCUGAAAGGAAGAUUAAUCCAGGAUGGCAUCAUGAGUUCACAUGUCCGCAUGAUUAAAGGUAUUUUCCGGUAGACGAUGGGGAUGCGUUCCAUUAGAUAGUAGGCGGGGUAACGGCCCACCUAGUCAACGAUGGAUAGGGGUUCUGAGAGGAAGGUCCCCCACAUUGGAACUGAGACACGGUCCAAACUCCUACGGGAGGCAGCAGUGAGGAAUAUUGGUCAAUGGGCGAUGGCCUGAACCAGCCAAGUAGCGUGAAGGAUGACUGCCCUAUGGGUUGUAAACUUCUUUUAUAAAGGAAUAAAGUCGGGUAUGCAUACCCGUUUGCAUGUACUUUAUGAAUAAGGAUCGGCUAACUCCGUGCCAGCAGCCGCGGUAAUACGGAGGAUCCGAGCGUUAUCCGGAUUUAUUGGGUUUAAAGGGAGCGUAGAUGGAUGUUUAAGUCAGUUGUGAAAGUUUGCGGCUCAACCGUAAAAUUGCAGUUGAUACUGGAUGUCUUGAGUGCAGUUGAGGCAGGCGGAAUUCGUAGUGUAGCGGUGGAAUGCUUAGAUGUCACGAAGAACUCCGAUUGCGAAGGCAGCCUGCUAGGCUGCAACUGACAUUGAGGCUCGAAAGUGUGGGUAUCAAACAGGGUUGGAUACCCUGGUAGUCCACACGGUAAACGAUGAAUACUCGCUGUUUGCGAUAUACGGCAAGCGGCCAAGCGAAAGCGUUAAGUAUUCCACCUGGGGAGUACGCCGGCAACGGUGAAACUCAAAGGAAUUGACGGGGGCCCGCACAAGCGGAGGAACAUGUGGUUUAAUUCGAUGAUACGCGAGGAACCUUACCCGGGAUUGAAAUGUAGAUGACUGAUGGUGAAAACCGUCUUCCCUUCGGGGCUUCUAUGUAGGUGCUGCAUGGUUGUCGUCAGCUCGUGCCGUGAGGUGUCGGCUUAAGUGCCAUAACGAGCGCAACCCUUGUUGUCAGUUACUAACAGGUGAUGCUGAGGACUCUGACAAGACUGCCAUCGUAAGAUGUGAGGAAGGUGGGGAUGACGUCAAAUCAUCAUGCCCCUUAUGACCUGGGCUACACACGUGCUACAAUGGGGUGCACAAAGAGAAGCAAUACUGCGAAGUGGAGCCAAUCUUCAAAACACCUCUCAGUUCGGAUUGUAGGCUGCAACUCGCCUGCAUGAAGCCGGAAUCGCUAGUAAUCGCGGAUCAGCACGCCGCGGUGAAUACGUUCCCGGGCCUUGUACACACCGCCCGUCAAGCCAUGGGAGCCGGGGGUACCUGAAGUGCGUAACCGCGAGGAUCGCCCUAGGGUAAAACUGGUGACUGGGGCU